rnacentral:rRNA from 1 species
AUUGAACGCUGGCGGCAGGCCUAACACAUGCAAGUCGAACGAGUGGCGGACGGGUGAGUAAUGUCUGGGAACCUGCCUGAUGGAGGGGGAUAACUACUGGAAACGGUAGCUAAUACCGCAUACCAUCGGAUGUGCCCAGAUGGGAUUAGCUAGUAGGUGGGGUAACGGCUCACCUAGGCGACGAUCCCUAGCUGGUUUGAGAGGAUGAACAGCCACACUGGAACUGAGACACGGUCCAGACUCCUACGGGAGGCAGCAGUGGGGAAUAUUGGACAAUGGGCGAAAGCCUGAUGCAGCCAUGCCGCGUGUAUGAAGAAGGCCUUCGGGUUGUAAAGUACUUUUAGCGGGGAGGCGGUAUCCGCAGAAGAAGCACCGGCUAACUACGUGCCAGCAGCCGCGGUAAUAC